rnacentral:rRNA from 1 species
GCUCGCCGGAAGACCAAGGGUUCCUGUCCAACGUUAAUCGGGGCAGGGUGAGUCGACCCCUAAGGCGAGGCCGAAAGGCGUAGUCGAUGGGAAACGGGUUAAUAUUCCCGUACUUGGUGUUACUGCGAAGGGGGGACGGAGAAGGCUAUGUUGGCCGGGCGACGGUUGUCCCGGUUUAAGCGUGUAGGUGUGUGUUCCAGGUAAAUCCGGUUCACUUUAACACUGAGGCGUGAUGACGAGGCACUACGGUGCUGAAGCAACAAAUGCCCUGCUUCCAGGAAAAGCCUCUAAGCAUCAGGUAACAUCAAAUCGUACCCCAAACCGACACAGGUGGUCAGGUAGAGAAUACCAAGGCGCUUGAGAGAACUCGGGUGAAGGAACUAGGCAAAAUGGUGCCGUAACUUCGGGAGAAGGCACGCUGACACGUAGGUGAAGUGAUUUACUCAUGGAGCUGAAGUCAGUCGAAGAUACCAGCUGGCUGCAACUGUUUAUUAAAAACACAGCACUGUGCAAACACGAAAGUGGACGUAUACGGUGUGACGCCUGCCCGGUGCCGGAAGGUUAAUUGAUGGGGUCAGCGCAAGCGAAGCUCCUGAUCGAAGCCCCGGUAAACGGCGGCCGUAACUAUAACGGUCCUAAGGUAGCGAAAUUCCUUGUCGGGUAAGUUCCGACCUGCACGAAUGGCGUAAUGAUGGCCAGGCUGUCUCCACCCGAGACUCAGUGAAAUUGAACUCGCUGUGAAGAUGCAGUGUACCCGCGGCAAGACGGAAAGACCCCGUGAACCUUUACUAUAGCUUGACACUGAACAUUGAGCCUUGAUGUGUAGGAUAGGUGGGAGGCUUUGAAGUGUGGACGCCAGUCUGCAUGGAGCCGGCCUUGAAAUACCACCCUUUAAUGUUUGAUGUUCUAACGUGGACCCGUGAUCCGGGUUGCGGACAGUGUCUGGUGGGUAGUUUGACUGGGGCGGUCUCCUCCUAAAGAGUAACGGAGGAGCACGAAGGUUGGCUAAUCCUGGUCGGACAUCAGGAGGUUAGUGCAAUGGCAUAAGCCAGCUUGACUGCGAGCGUGACGGCGCGAGCAGGUGCGAAAGCAGGUCAUAGUGAUCCGGUGGUUCUGAAUGGAAGGGCCAUCGCUCAACGGAUAAAAGGUACUCCGGGGAUAACAGGCUGAUACCGCCCAAGAGUUCAUAUCGACGGCGGUGUUUGGCACCUCGAUGUCGGCUCAUCACAUCCUGGGGCUGAAGUAGGUCCCAAGGGUAUGGCUGUUCGCCAUUUAAAGUGGUACGCGAGCUGGGUUUAGAACGUCGUGAGACAGUUCGGUCCCUAUCUGCCGUGGGCGCUGGAGAACUGAGGGGGGCUGCUCCUAGUACGAGAGGACCGGAGUGGACGCAUCACUGGUGUUCGGGUUGUCAUGCCAAUGGCACUGCCCGGUAGCUAAAUGCGGAAGAGAUAAGUGCUGAAAGCAUCUAAGCACGAAACUUGCCCCGAGAUGAGUUCUCCCUGAGACUUUAGGUCUCCUGAAGGAACGUUGAAGACGACGACGUUGAUAGGCCGGGUGUGUAAGCGCAGCGAUGCGUUGAGCUAACCGGUACUAAUGAACCGUGAGGCUUAACCUUACA